GCAAUACGGAGCGGCAGACGGGAGAGUAACACGUGGGAACGUACCCUUUGGUUCGGAACAACCCAGGGAAACUUGGGCUAAUACCGAAUAAGCCCUUACGGGGAAAGAUUUAUCGCCGAAGGAUCGGCCCGCGUCUGAUUAGCUAGUUGGUGGGGUAACGGCCCACCAAGGCGACGAUCAGUAGCUGGUCUGAGAGGAUGAUCAGCCUCAUUGGGACUGAGACACGGCCCAAACUCCUACGGGAGGCAGCAGUGGGGAAUAUUGGACAAUGGGCGCAAGCCUGAUCCAGCCAUGCCGCGUGGGUGAUGAAGGCCCUAGGG
rnacentral:rRNA from 1 species